rnacentral:lncRNA from 1 species
GGUCAUUAAAAUAAAAAAUGCUGAAUUAAAAGAAUUCUAGUAAAAAUGAUGAGUUUUAUUUCUACGAUGAAGUAGAAUUUAAAUACUCUAUGGUAGAUUAUUUUCUCCAGUGGCCCAAAUAGUGACAUUGGUUUUCAAAAUUGUAUCAAUUUGUGCCACUUAAUGUUGAUGGCUUUUCUGUAUAUAAAUCUGAACAUUAGGUAAGAAUAUUAGAUAUUAUGAUAAAUUUUGACAGGUAAAGAAGGUCACU